GCCGGGCAUGGUGGCACAUGCCUGUAGUAGUCCAAGCUACUCAGGAGGCUGAGGCAGUAGGAUUGCUUGAGCCCAGGAGUUUGAGGUUGCUGUGAGCUAGGCUGAGGCACUCACUCUAGCCUGGGCAACAAAGUGAGACUCUGUCUCGAAAAAAAAAAAAAAAUAGAGACAGAGUUUCGCUCUGUUGCCUAGGCUGCUGUGACAUCAGCCUAGCUCACAGCAACCUCAAAUUCCCGGGCUCAAGUGAUCCUCUUGCCUUA
rnacentral:sRNA from 1 species